rnacentral:rRNA from 1 species
AUUGAACGCUGGCGGCAUGCUUUACACAUGCAAGUCGAACGGUAACAGGUUAAGCUGACGAGUGGCGAACGGGUGAGUAAUGCAUCGGGACGUGCCCGAGCGUGGGGGAUAACGCAGCGAAAGCUGCGCUAAUACCGCAUACGAUCCGAGGCUGACAGCGGGGGACCGUAGGGCCUCGCGCGAUCGGAACGGCCGGUGUCAGAUUAGGUAGUUGGUGGGGUAAAGGCUCACCAAGCCGACGAUCUGUAGCUGGUCUGGGAGGACGACCAGCCACACGGGGACUGUGACACGGCCCAGACUCCUACGGGAGGCAGCAGUGGGGAAUUUUGGACAAUGGGCGAAAGCCUGAUCCAGCAAUGCCGCGUGCAGGAAGAAGGCCUUCGGGUUGUAAACUGCUUUUGUACGGAGCGAAAAGGCUCUCUCUAAUACAGGGGGCUCAUGACGGUACCGUAAGAAUAAGCACCGGCUAACUACGUGCCAGCAGCCGCGGUAA